rfam:Felis catus isolate Cinnamon breed Abyssinian chromosome C1, whole genome shotgun sequence.
GCCUGGGUGGCUCAGUUGGUUGGGCAUCCGAUUUUGGCUCAGGUCAUGAUCUCAUGGUUUGUGAGUUCAAGCCCCACUUUGGGCU